rnacentral:misc_RNA from 1 species
GAUGAAGAACGUAGCGAAAUGCGAUAAGUAAUGUGAAUUGCAGAAUUCAGUGAAUCAUCGAAUCUUUGAACGCACAUUGCGCCCGCCAGUAUUCUGGCGGGCAUGCCUGUUUGAGCGUCAUUUCAACCCUCAAGCCCAGCUUGGUGUUGGGGAUCGGCACAGGCGCCCUCGGGCGCCCGCCGUCCCCUAAAUCUAGUGGCGGUCCCGCUGCAGCCUCCUCUGCGUAGUAGUUUUCUCCUCGCAAGGGCAGCUCGGUGGCGACCUCGCCGUAAAACCCCCAACUUCUGAAAGGUUGACCUCGAAUCAGGUAGGAAUACCCGCUGAACUUAAGCAUAUCAAUAAGCGGAGGA